rnacentral:rRNA from 1 species
ACGGGUGAGUAAUGUCUGGGAAACUGCCUGAUGGAGGGGGAUAACUACUGGAAACGGUAGCUAAUACCGCAUAACGUCGCAAGACCAAAGAGGGGGACCUUCGGGCCUCUUGCCAUCAGAUGUGCCCAGAUGGGAUUAGCUAGUAGGUGGGGUAACGGCUCACCUAGGCGACGAUCCCUAGCUGGUCUGAGAGGAUGACCAGCCACACUGGAACUGAGACACGGUCCAGACUCCUACGGGAGGCAGCAGUGGGGAAUAUUGCACAAUGGGCGCAAGCCUGAUGCAGCCAUGCCGCGUGUGUGAAGAAGGCCUUCGGGUUGUAAAGCACUUUCAGCGGGGAGGAAGGGGGUAAGGUUAAUAACCUUAUUCAUUGACGUUACCCGCAGAAGAAGCACCGGCUAACUCCGUGCCAGCAGCCGCGGUAAUACGGAGGGUGCAAGCGUUAAUCGGAAUUACUGGGCGUAAAGCGCACGCAGGCGGUCUGUCAAGUCGGAUGUGAAAUCCCCGGGCUCAACCUGGGAACUGCAUUCGAAACUGGCAGGCUAGAGUCUUGUAGAGGGGGGUAGAAUUCCAGGU